AUUUAUCCCUCAGGACAAGAAAUCAUCCAUGUGGAAUAAAGAACCCCUUCUCAAGGUUUGAGCUUUGCUGGCUAAAGGUGGAGAUGGUGGUGGGGGUUUCAAAGGCUAUUUGAGAUAUACUCAACAUUUAUGGGCCUAUUUGUUUCCUGUAAAAAAUACACUCACAUUUGGUGAACAGAGCUCUGAAACAGAAGGAACAGAACCUGGAAU
rnacentral:lncRNA from 1 species